GGCCAUUCGGGGUACACGAGCGGCGAACGGGUGAGUAACACGUGGGUGAUCUGCCUCGCACUCUGGGAUAAGCCUGGGAAACUGGGUCUAAUACCGGAUAUGACCUUACAUCGCAUGGUGUUUGGUGGAAAGAUUUAUCGGUGCGAGAUGGGCCCGCGGCCUAUCAGCUUGUUGGUGGGGUAAUGGCCUACCAAGGCGACGACGGGUAGCCGGCCUGAGAGGGCGACCGGCCACACUGGGACUGAGACACGGCCCAGACUCCUACGGGAGGCAGCAGUGGGGAAUAUUGCACAAUGGGCGAAAGCCUGAUGCAGCGACGCCGCGUGAGGGAUGACGGCCUUCGGGUUGUAAACCUCUUUCGACAGGGACGAAGCGCAAGUGACGGUACCUGUAGAAGAAGCACCGGCCAACUACGUGCCAGCAGCCGCGGUAAUACGUAGGGUGCGAGCGUUGUCCGGAAUUACUGGGCGUAAAGAGCUUGUAGGCGGCUUGUCGCGUCGAUCGUGAAAACUUGGGGCUCAACCCCAAGCUUGCGGUCGAUACGGGCAGGCUUGAGUACUUCAGGGGAGACUGGAAUUCCUGGUGUAGCGGUGAAAUGCGCAGAUAUCAGGAGGAACACCGGUGGCGAAGGCGGGUCUCUGGGAAGUAACUGACGCUGAGAAGCGAAAGCGUGGGUAGCGAACAGGAUUAGAUACCCUGGUAGUCCACGCCGUAAACGGUGGGUACUAGGUGUGGGUUUCCUUCCACGGGAUCCGUGCCGUAGCUAACGCAUUAAGUACCCCGCCUGGGGAGUACGGCCGCAAGGCUAAAACUCAAAGGAAUUGACGGGGGCCCGCACAAGCGGCGGAGCAUGUGGAUUAAUUCGAUGCAACGCGAAGAACCUUACCUGGGUUUGACAUACACCGGAAACCUGCAGAGAUGUAGGCCCCCUUGUGGUCGGUGUACAGGUGGUGCAUGGCUGUCGUCAGCUCGUGUCGUGAGAUGUUGGGUUAAGUCCCGCAACGAGCGCAACCCUUAUCUUAUGUUGCCAGCGCGUAAUGGCGGGGACUCGUGAGAGACUGCCGGGGUCAACUCGGAGGAAGGUGGGGACGACGUCAAGUCAUCAUGCCCCUUAUGUCCAGGGCUUCACACAUGCUACAAUGGCCGGUACAGAGGGCUGCGAUACCGUGAGGUGGAGCGAAUCCCUUAAAGCCGGUCUCAGUUCGGAUCGGGGUCUGCAACUCGACCCCGUGAAGUUGGAGUCGCUAGUAAUCGCAGAUCAGCAACGCUGCGGUGAAUACGUUCCCGGGCCUUGUACACACCGCCCGUCACGUCAUGAAAGUCGGUAACACCCGAAGCCGGUGGC
rnacentral:rRNA from 1 species